rnacentral:piRNA from 1 species
GUGUGGUGAAAUUGUGAAGCUGUAGCAGAGU